UAACGCGUGGGUAACCUGCCCGUUUUGUCGGGGAACAACUUCGAGAAAUCGGAGCUAAUACCGCAUAAUAAUAGAGGAUCGCAUGAUUCUUUAAGGAAAGAUGGCCUCUGAAGAUGCUAUCGCAAAAGGAUGGACCCGCGUCUGAUUAGCUAGUUGGAAGGGUAACGGCCUACCAAGGCAAUGAUCAGUAGCCGGCCUGAGAGGGUGAACGGCCACAUUGGGACUGAGACACGGCCCAAACUCCUACGGGAGGCAGCAG
rnacentral:rRNA from 1 species